CCCUUAGAUGUUCUGGGCUGCACGCGCGCUACACUGAUGCGAUCAACAAGUUUUUCCUAUGUCGAUAGACACGGGUAAUCUUUUGAACUCGCAUCGUGAUGGGGAUAGAUUAUUGUAAUUAUUAAUCUUCAACGAGGAAUUCCUAGUAGGUGCAAAUCAUCAGUUUGCAUCGAUUACGUCCCUGCCCUUUGUACACACCGCCCGUCGCUGCUACCGAUUGGUUGAUCUGGUGAAUUAUUCGGACUGCCGGCUGAAGGGGUUUCCUCAUCUGCCAGCGGAAAGUCUUGUUAACCCUACCAACUAGAGGAAGCAGAAGUCGUAACA
rnacentral:rRNA from 1 species